rnacentral:lncRNA from 1 species
GUGCGUUCGUUGAGUCGGAAGUCGACCGACCGUCAGAUAAAGGUUCGGUAGUCGGGUCUCUUCCGACGCGUUCAGUCGAAUGUCGUCGGGCGCAUUUAGUCGGGGAAGCACCGAUAAGUCGGAUCCCGAUACCCUUGUGUCGGGUAUCCAUACUGCGCCUCAUGAUAUACGGUGGUAAAUCGAAUAUCUCUCGGCCGGUCGUAGCUCGGUCGGUGAGUCAU